CACAGACGGCAGAGCCGCAGACACCGACGUCAUUUUGUAAAGAAUUGAAAACCGCCUAUGCAGGAGGUGGGUGACCAUCUGCAGUGUAACCUCACACACGACUGCCAAGCCAGCAUGAGGACCUUAGAGGAGUUCGGGCCUAAUGGGAUUAGAGCUGGUGACGCCGUCUCCUGUCUCCUCUGGGCUGCGCGCCGGGAAGUCGCCCUCGGACACAACUGCCCUUCUGUCUGAGGGCAGAGCAACAUCAGAAACACUGGGACCAUUACAAGAUACUGUGUGACGUAAAGC
rnacentral:lncRNA from 1 species